rnacentral:lncRNA from 1 species
UUUUUUUUUUUUUUUUUGUCUUUUUGCCUUUUCUAGGGCUGCUCCCAUGGGUCUAAUCAGAGCCACAGCAACGCUGCAUCCGAACCGCGUCUGCAACCUACACCACAGCUCACGGCAACACCGGAUCUUUAACCCACUGAGCAAGGGCAGGGAUCAAACCCUCAACCUCAUGGUUCCUAGUCGGAUUCGUUAACCACUGCGCCACGAUGGGAACUCUCUGAUAUGGCUAUUGAUUAACAUUUGUGGCUUAAGGGCUCCAGGGAGUAAUUCCCCACAGACCUUGUUUUAUUACAGGAAAUGUGCCUUCCCCACAGGCUUUGUUUACUAUAGGAAGUGUACUUUCUCCACAGCCCUUAUUUACUAUAGGAAAUGUGCCUCCCCCCACACGGACCUUAAUCUCUAACCCACUCCUCAUCUGAUAAAAAAGGAGAGAGGAAUGGUGACUCAGUCUAAGGAAAGAGAAGGACAAAGAAAUCAUAAAACUGAUGGGCCAUCUCCACUCCUAAAACCCCUAUUGGACAAAGACUGAUACAGGCAAUUGAGCAAGGCCAAUGGGAGAGAGAAAACCACAUCUUCUAGACCCCACGUUGGUACCCCCUGCAUCUUUAAGGGAUAAAAACCCCUAUAGCACAAUGGGGGAGGGGCUCUUCUCCCCACUCCCAGCAGCCCUGGAAGCUAUUUGCUUUUCUGAAAUAAAGACUUUGCUUGCUUGCUGCCUGCGUGUUCACGGAGUUCAUUCUUCAACUGCGUGAACAAGAACCCAGAUUCCAGUAACAUUUUUCCGGCAUCACAACCCCUCUUCCAUUUAACUCAUGCCGCUGAGCAUUUACGACGUACCAGGCAGUCAAUGUGAGAUAACAGACACAUUAAAAUGCUGCCCUCUGCACCCAGGCACUUACAACAAGAUCACUGUUAAAGCUGAGAUCUGUGUCUAGCACUAGGGCAACAGAAGAUAGAAAGUAUAAGUUCUUCUGAGAAAGACCAGAAUUGCUUUACCAAGAAGGCCGCCUCGGAGUCGAGGCUGAAGGAUAAGGAGGCAGUGGAAGGAUUCCAGGCAGAGAGCAUGAGAAAUGCCACUCAGAAGAGAGGGGUGCCUUGGGGAAAACAUAAAUCCAACCUCACUCACUGUUGUUGGAGCCCCAGAUAUUCUGUGGAAAGGGAACUGGGGUUGCACAGAACAGAUGGGGGUGUAGGCCAUGCAAACAACUGUCGAUCUAACCCUAUAGGUGACGAGGAGACACCACUGGAUACCUCUGAGUAGGAGAGGGACAUUUCGGGGGCCAACCAGGUUGGGAGUAGGGUGGGAGGAUGAUGUGUAUAAAGGGUGGGGCAUAGAUGUGCAAUUUAUUUGAUACAUGUGGGGAGAGGAAAAAAGUCUCAGCUACCAUUCAGGUUUCAUCUGUAGGAAACUUGGGUAGAAGGUGGUACAGUUCAUUAGAAUAGGGUGUCUAGAAAAAUAGCAGGUAUAGUGGGAGGAACAAAACGGGUGAACUUUAGGGCAGCUGAAUUAGAACAGACUGUGGUUGCCAAAGCGGUGAUGACAGAGAGAGCUGGCUAUGAGUUUGGAGCUUGGGCGCAGGGUCAGGGGGUGGAGACACAGCGAGAGUGUAGGCAGGAUGGCCAGUGAAUGACCCGGAUGAAAUCUGAUGUGUGAAUCCAGAGGGUUCAUCUAGAUCUGAGGUCAGCAUCACCCCAGCAGCAUUCCGGAACCAGCACACACCAGGUCCAGUCAGUUUCCUAAAUUAAGUGCUGCAGAAUGACUAAAAUAUGAAAUCAAUAAAAGGCUAAAGAGAACAAACAUUACUGAAAUUACAUCGAAACAAACCCCUCUUCCUCACUGUACCAGCCAGGGGGAACAAGAUAAUUAAAACUGAACACUCCCUCCCACGCUACUGGUGGGAACACAAACUGGUACAGCCACUCUCGAGAACAGUAUGGAGGUUCCUGAAAAAACUAAAGAGUGUUGCCAUAUGAUCCAGCCAUCCCACUUGAGGGCAUAUAACCAUAGAAAACUGUAAUUCGAAAAGAAAUACAUGCACCUCAGUGUUCAUAGCUGCACUAUUCACAAGAGCCAAGGCGUGGAAACAGCCGAAGUGUCCAUCAACAGAUAAAUGGAUAAAGAAGGUGUGGCAUAUAUACAUGAUGGCAUAUUACUCAGCCACUAAAAAGAAGGAAAUUACAUCACUUGCAACAAUAUGGAAGGACCUAGAUAUUAUCAAGCUAAGUGAAGUAAAUCAAAGAUAAAUAUCAUAAGGUAUCGCUUAUAUGUGGAAUCUAAAGAAAGAUAAUGGAUGAACUUAUUUACAAAAUAGACACAGAAAACAAAGUAUGGGAGGGGGAGGGAUAAACGAGGAGUUUGGGAUUAACAUAGACACAUUAUACGUACAAUAACCAACAAAGCCCUUCUGUAUAGCACAGGGAACUCUACUCAGUAUCUUGUAAUACCCUACAAGGGAAAAUAAUAUAAAAAAGACUAGAUAGCUAUGUAUGUGGAUAACUGCAUCACUUUGCUGUACACCUGAAACUAAUAACAUUGUAAAUCAACUAUAUUUCAAUAAAAAAUUUUGAAACACUGAACACUCCGAGUUCCCCUGGAUUGCUGGUGAGGGGACUGGUCAGACACCCAGCUGACCAGUCAUCUAUAGCUGUAGAUGGCUGACUAGUCAUCUACAGGAAAUGAUCACUAACACCACUCACUUUCCAGUCCUAACCUCAUCAAAGGCACCUUUGGGAAAAGCAGUGUGUUUUCCUUGGUCUACACAUUCCAACACCAAAGGGAAGAUUCCAGUUUUCCCACCAGGUCUUAGCUCCCAGGGAAGAGCAACAGGCUGGCUCUGUGGUUCCCAUGGGAGAAGCUAAGAGACCAGCCAGGAGGACCGAGCCAAAGUCUGGCCCUUGCCCUGCAGCUAACUUCGCGUCUAUGCCUAUAGUGAUGACUGGCAGGUGCUCCGUGAUGUCGGCAACAAGCACGGCUUCUAGACUUGCCCCAAGUCACAUCUCAGAGAGCUGUUAGCCCCGGGGAAGCUGAGAGAUCACUGAGGGUGUGGGUGGCAGGUAUCGGAGGCUUCCUCCCUCCCCGACACUGCAGACCCUGAGAAUCAGCUGUGAUGCCAUUUCCUGGUGGAGUGGCCAGAACCCUUUCCAACACAGCACUCCUGGCCUUCAGGCAGCACUGGCCCUUCUCAGAUUCCAUCACUGAGGACAGUGAGGUCCAAAGCUUCCAUUACCUACCCAGGUGGCAUGGCCAGCCAGCAUCAGAGCUGGGGUGGAAGGUGGCUCUCCUAUUUGCGUCAACAGCUGCCAACACUUAAGUUCCAACUGAGUAGGGAGGCGACUGUGCCCUGUGCUCCCCAGGGCUUCCAGAUGAUCAGCAGGACGUGUGACAGCAGACCUUCCAGACAAGAGCUCUGUGGUCUCAGAAGCCAGGGCUGGGGGUCCUUUUUACUGCCAAGGUUGAGGACUUAGACUUCCUGUGUGUUAUCUAAUACGUGGUCAGGCCGGUAUGACCCAGUUCUGAUUGCAGGUCAGCCACGCCUAAUGCUCAGCUGGAUGCACUGUUUCUGUUGGCCUUUCUGUCUCCUACUGCUCCUGCUAAUAGACUCAUAGAAACCUGAGUCCCAGGGCAGCAAAAAUAGUUCCCCAAAGCUGCCCGGGGCACAGAGCAGAAUUUGAUCUUCUGACACUUGGUUGGGUUUAUCAAACUGCUUAAUCCGUGGUCCCUGCUCUUCAGCUGCCCUAGUUCCUUCCAACUUGAAGAGGCUUCACUCUGAAUAGGAAUAUUAGUGUCCCAGUGAUGGCAGAGGUCACGGCCAUGGCAGCCUUAGGCUGGGUGCCAGCAAGAGGGAAGAGUGGGAGUUUCCGUCGUGGCUCAGCAGAAAUGAACCCAACUAGAAUCCAUGAGGAUGUGGGUUCGAUCCCUGGCCUCACUCAGUGAGUUAAGGAUCUGGCAUCGCCAUGAGCUAUGGUGUAAGUCACAGACAUGGCUCAGAUCUGACGUGGCUGUGGCUGUGGCAGAGACCAGAAGCUGCAGCUGCGAUUUGACCCCUGGCCUGGGAACCUCCAUAUGCCCUGGGUGCAGCUCUAAAAAAAAAAAAGGACAGAAGAAGGCAUCUACACCCUGGGGACAGGUGGUCACAAGCUGUCAAUCCUGAUGCUAAAAGCAAGUCGAAACCUACCAACAAUUAUUGACAUGAUUAAGGCACCUUGAGAAUGUCUUUGUAAGUCUGGCCUAAGACGAUAACUCCUUUGGCUUGAAAAUUUCUGAAGUCAGUCUCUAGUGGAUCAGAUAAAGAUAUACUAGAGAUAAAUAAAUGUUCCAAGUUUUUAAAAAUCACAUCCACAAAGUAAGAUUCAGCCCAACCGCAAACAUGAUGCACAUGCUGCAGGCAAGGGGUUCUGAUCAAUUCAGAUGUCUGAUUCCUGAGGGCACAUGGGUGCCUGAAAAGCUUCUGAACUAAAUGAGACCCUCUGUCUUUCUUCACACCCAUCUGUCUGUAUGUUGUGUCAUAAAGAUGACUCUAGGGAGUGUGACAAGCCAUGCAGACCCCCAAACUGAAGUCUUAGUAUUUCCCCAGAGGAAGAUGCUACAGUGGCCUUCACCUUCCUUUUAAAGUCAGGGUUUGGAGAGGAUCCUGGCCUUGACCUUCCUCCUGAAGGCAGGGUUUGGAGUGGAUCCUGGCCACAACACGCGAGGUACCCGGCUGGGCGGUGACUAAUCCACUUCCCAGAGGACUCUGGUGUGGGAGCUCCGGGUGGGGGGGAAGUGAAUGGCAUGAAUCAGGGAUCAAGAGCAGAAAAUACAACGUGAUUCAUAUUAACUAAAGGAAAAGGUUGAGAGAGAAAAAACAACUAGAAAUGAAAACCACACGCACACUUACACAUCAGCAAAUGCCACACUGAGCAUGUCACUGGAACUUCUGCUUUUUAGAGUCCAAAGAAGAAAAAAAAGGCAGAUUUUCAAAACAAAGCCUAAUAAAACCAGUUGUAGCCAAAUUGAAUGAGCAUAAAGCACAAUGCAGCUACAUAAAAAAGAAACAAAUUGCUUUUCAUAAAGUUGGUAUUUGUUACAAGAAAAAAGGAGCCAACAUAGUAUUUCUCACCCAAUCUCAAAUGUCCUUUAUAUCCCUUUGUUAAUUUUUGUUGAAUACUAUCAGACAUUAAAAUGUUAAAGCUUUUAGAAGUUCUUUUUGUGGCUCAGUGGUAAUGAACCUGACCAGUAUCCAUGAGGACGGGGGUUCAAUCCCUGGCCUCGCUCGCUCAGUGGGUUAAGGAUCUGGCGUUGCUGUGAGCCGUGAUGUAGGUUGAAGAUGCGGCUUGGAUCCCAAGUUGCUGUGGCUGUGGCAUAGGCCGGCUGCUGUACCUCCAACUUGACCCCUCGCCUGGGAAUGUCCAUAUGCGGCAGGUGCAGCCCUUAAAAAAAAAAAGAUUUUCAGACUCACAGAUUUUGAAAUCAAACUGAUGGUUACCAAAGGGGAAACAUGGGGGGCCGGGAGGAUAAACUAGGAGUUUAGGAUUAAUAUAUAUACAUUACUACAUAUAAAAUAGAUAACUAACAAGGACUUAUUGUACAGAACAGGAAAAUCUAGUCAGUAUUCUGGAACAACCUAUACGGGAAAAGAAUCUGAGAAAGGACGGACAUACGUAAAUGUAUAACUGAUUGACUUUGCUGUAUACCUGAAACCAACACAUUAUAAGCCAACUAUUCUCCCAUAAAUUUUUGUAAAUAAAUGCCAAAUGAAAUGUUAAAACUUUUGCUUAAAGUGCACAUUAUCUUUGCAACUAGGAUGCUUGCUUCAUUAUAAGGAGUCUCUCAGUUGGCAUCAUUGAAUUUCUCAGUAAUGAGUUAUCUAGGAAUGUAAAACAAAGGAGUGGAAUUCAAUCAACAAAGAAGUAAAAAAUAAACAAAUCAAGUUCCUGCUGUGGCUUAGCGGGUUAAGACACAGACAUGGUGUCCAUGAGGAUACGGGUUUGAUCCCUGGCCUCGCUCAGUGGAUUAAAGAUCUGGCAUUGCCAUGAGCUGUGGCAUAGGUCACAGAUGUGGCUCGGAUCUGACUGUGACAUAGGCUGGCAGCUGCAGCUGAUUUGGCUCCUAGCCUGGGAACCUCCAUAUGCCAAGGAUGUGGCCCUAAAAACAUAAAAAAUAAAAAAAUGUUAAAAAAUAAAUAAAUAAAAGAAAAAAAAAAAAAGAAACCUCAAAGCUACUGGGAUCAACCACUCUGGAAUAAUGGAAAACCCUGGAAACAAUGGGUAGAGCCAUAGUUGUUCUGAACUGUGCUUUUUUUCUACUCAAAACUGUAACUUGAUGACAGUUUUGUGUCAUCCAGCAAGUUCUUUUUCAGUGGUUGUACAAUGUUUCAUCAUAUGGCUGUGAUAAUAUUUAAGUAAAUAGCCAUG